rnacentral:misc_RNA from 1 species
UCUCCGUUGGUGAACCAGCGGAGGGAUUAUUAUCGAGUUUAUAACUCCCAAACCCUAUGUGAACUUACCACUUGUUGCUUCGGCGCGCGCUUCGGUGCCGCCGAGGACACUUAAACUCUUUGUUUUUAUAAGCAUUUCUGAGUGGCCGAAAGGCAAAAUACAAAUGAAUCAAAACUUUCAACAACGGAUCUCUUGGUUCUG